AGACACAGUCUUGGUGCACCGUGGACACGUUCUCUCGGCCAGCGCACCAGUACCAAGUUCGCGAAAUCUUCGGGCGACGCGGCAUGGGCACAUCACCCUCCCUCCCUCCUCCUCCACUUCGUCUUCCCCCCACCGAUCCAACGAGGCAGACAGGGAAACUUCCUCGCGACCCCGCCCCGCCGCCCACCUCCUCCCCCGCCUCGCCGAGGGAGGGGAUCGCCGACGCCGCCAUGGCCUCCACCUCCUCCAAGCACGCCAAGCACCGCCGGAUCGGAGAGGACGACGACGAGGAGGAGGAGGCCGAGGAGGAGCUCGGGCGAUUUGAUGAUUUCACCAUUGCUUCAUCUUGGGAGAGGUUUAUAUCUGAGAUAGAGGCAAUUUGUCGUCAAUGGCUAGCAGAUGGCUCAAAGAUCUUGAUGCAAAAAGGUGCAGAGACUGUGCCUUCCUUUGAAAACUUGUACAUGGUCAAGCGUGAACUGAAGCAUGGGAAAAGAGUCUACUGUAUGGAGUAUCAUUUUAGGAAAUCUGCAAAAGGCAAAUAUUCAUACUGGGAUGAUGAUACACAUAGUACACAACUAUCCUUUGGAGUAGAUGAGUUUCUGAUAAUUGCCCCCUUGAGUGCCAGCGGUGUUGUUCUUGAUGAUCCUGAAUCAACUAAGCUUUUGAGUUCUGUAGCAAUUGCAUUGUCUAAUUGUGCCAGCAAUUGGCCAGCAUUUGUACCUGUUCAUGACCCUUCGCGAAAAGCAUAUAUAGGAAUUCAAAACAUGGGAACUGUAUUUACUCGAAGAUUUGAAGCUGAUCGAAUUGGUAGCCAGGUCCUAUCCUCAACAGAUUUUCCAGCAAAGGUAAAGGUAAACUUCUCGAUGAAGCUUACCUACAGAACUCCUGAACAUGAUUAUGAUCAUGAGGAGACUUUGGAUUCUGAAGCUACCGAGUCAAUACCAGAAAGUGAAGUUGCAAGCCAACCCAGAAAACAAUGGGAUGAUGAUUGCCCUUGGGCAGAGUGGUACUCUGCCGAGGAUCCUAUUAAAGGUUUUGAGUUGACAACCAUUUGGGGAGAGAAAAUGUUUGAAGAGAGCUUUGAGAUGGCUGAGGUGGAAAAUGCUUCGUCGUUUGAUGCUGAUAGUUGGCUUCUUCAACCAGUGGUGUCACCAUACAUGGUUGAUGAUUCUAUUGGGAAGUUUGUUGGGUUUGCAUCCCAGCUACAUCUGCUAGUAAAUGCAUUUGAAUCGUCAGCAGAGGCACAAUUUUUAGAAGAUUUUGUUGCAGAUAAUUCAGGCCAAGACAAUUCAAAAUCUUCUGUUGCUGUGCCUCCACCAUCUGUCAUUGAUCGUGUUAUGAAAGAUCUUUUCAAUGAUGAGGCUGGAAACUCAAAUUAUGUGGAAGCAGAAAACAAGUAUGGUCGCGCUUUGAAAGGAGCACCUUCAGAUUCUCUCUUUGCUCAGUUCUGUUUACAUGCAUUGUGGUUUGGCAACUGCAAUAUACGUGCAAUAGCAGUCUUAUGGAUUGAUUUUGUGCGCGAAAUUCGUUGGUGCUGGGAGGAGUCAGAACGACUACCGAGGAUGAAAACCACUUCUAGCAUUGACCUCUCUGCUUGUGUAAUCCACCAAAAACUACAAAUGCUUGCGAUAUGCAUUGAGCGGAAGAAACCAUUGAAUCGUAAGAAGGAUACUGAUGAUGCACAUAAAGAAAAGACUUCAAAUAGCAUGGCACCUGAUAAAAUACGUAAAGGAUCAGCAGGCGCUGUCCCUUCAAUGAUGCUGAUAAAUACAUUUCAGGAAAUGCAUGCUCCAUAUACUCAGGAUGCACCUUUGAUGACAGAAGAUAUGCAUGAAGAAAGGCUCCAUGCAGCUGAAGCUUUUGGCAAUGCUGUUGGUUUAUCUGGUCAACUGGAAAGGGAUAUAUUAUCUUCCGAUAUGUCUGCUUUUAAAGCCGCAAACCCAGAUGCUGCUUUUGAAGAUUUUAUUCGGUGGCAUUCACCUGGUGACUGGGUGAGUGAGGACAAAAGUGAUGGUAAUCCAGCCUGGCCACCCAAAGGAAGGCUUUCUCAGCGUAUGUCAGAACAUGGGAAUAUGUGGCGCAAAAUUUGGAAUGAUGCCCCAGCUUUGCCUGUCUCUGAACAGAAAUCUCUGCUUGAUUCUGUUCGAGAAGGAGAAAAGGUGGUUCAUUACCUUGAAACUUUGAGGCCACAGCAGCUUCUUGAGCAAAUGGUCUGCACAGCUUUCAAAUCAUCAGCUGACAUUCUAAACAAGACCACAUAUGGUGGCUUCAAAUUAAUGAAGACUAAAAUGGAUCAACUAUAUGCUACAAUGGCGUCGACAUUAAGAUCUCUUCAAGGGAAAUCUGACACAAGUGAUUUGGCUGGAGAUUUGAAGCGACUUUGUCAAGUUUUUGAGCAUAUAGAGAAGUUGCUGAUUUUUGCUGCUUCGGUCCACCGAAAACUUAUAGAUGCUCCAAGACUGGCUCAAUCAAUUUUUACCGACUACUUCAAUUACUAUCUUCCAAAAAUGGGAACCAGCCUGGAAAGUAUUUGUUAUGAAAAGGAGUUCACUACUAAGGAAAAGGUGGGGAUGCUUGAAAGGGAGGCUGUAUCAAGCCUGUUUCGUCCCCCUACUGCCAAUCAGUCAUGGAGGAAAGUUUUGAGCAUGGGAAAUCUUUUGAACGGGCAUGAACCAGUACAAAGAGAGAUUGUAUUCUCAGUUCUGGAGAAACUAAGCAACGGUCACUAUUCGAGCCCAACUCCGUUAUCUACAGACGAACAGAUUGAGACACAUAGGAUGUAUAUAUCUGGUACAUCUAAUGAUCUCUGGGUUGCUUUAUCCGUGACAUCCUGGGACUGAGAUGUUCAUCAGACACAUGAAGAACAAUCAUAGGAGUUAGCCAGAUGUGUUGAUAUUGCAGAUCUAUCAAUUCCUGGGUUGAAGUUUGAGUGUACAAGAGAAGUGAUCCUUUGGCAUGAGAACAAUGGUGGUGGCUGAAUCGCAAAGCCAAUGUUGCGAGAAAAUUGAAGUGUCAAGUGUUGACUUGUUAUCGACGAAAAACAGUGUGAUCUGCAUGAGGUGGCAAGCAAUUGGAUUGUCCAGCGACCGGGAUUAAGAAGCCUGGACCAUCUUUCCUGAUGACGCAGUUGUAGCUUUUGUGCUUGUGGGCAUCUGGAGAUAAUCGGGCUGCCAAGCUCCCAUGUGAUACCAUGAUUUACAGUUGCCUGUAAGAACCGUUUGUACAAAGUCUUGUACAGAUUGUUUUGUUUACUCACCCUCAGUGGAGUAGUUAACUGUGGUUCCAAGUAUUACACCCCCUCCACUGAGGGUGAUGGCAUUUUGUCCAUUUUUUUAGUUGCACUAUAUCCAAAUUGAACAGUACGUAGUAGUAGAACUACAUAUGGCCGGUGGUGUUGCCUCGUGCCACUGUACAUCAUGGGGGUGAUGUUAUGAUCAAUGAUGGCGUU
rnacentral:rRNA from 1 species